GAUGAACGCUGGCGGCGUGCCUAAUACAUGCAAGUCGAGCGAACAGACGAAGAGCUUGCUCCUCUGACGUUAGCGGCGGACGGGUGAGUAACACGUGGAUAACCUACCUAUAAGACUGGGAUAACUUCGGGAAACCGGAGCUAAUACCGGAUAAUAUAUUGAACCGCAUGGUUCAAUAGUGAAAGACGGUUUUGCUGUCACUUAUAGAUGGAUCCGCGCCGCAUUAGCUAGUUGGUAAGGUAACGGCUUACCAAGGCAACGAUGCGUAGCCGACCUGAGAGGGUGAUCGGCCACACUGGAACUGAGACACGGUCCAGACUCCUACGGGAGGCAGCAGUAGGGAAUCUUCCGCAAUGGGCGAAAGCCUGACGGAGCAACGCCGCGUGAGUGAUGAAGGUCUUCGGAUCGUAAAACUCUGUUAUUAGGGAAGAACAAAUGUGUAAGUAACUAUGCACGUCUUGACGGUACCUAAUCAGAAAGCCACGGCUAGCUACGUG
rnacentral:rRNA from 1 species